UCCAAGGCCCACAGCGAACUUGGACUCAGGUCUGAGGCCCAGCCUUUGACUCAGAACGGGGAGUCAGAACUGGUUCUGAGACCUGGAAUCCAGACUCAUGAUCUAGAGCUUUCACUCAACCAAACCCCAACUGGACAGGAGAGCCAGCCUGUCCUAAGAACCCUCCACAUCCCACACGGGCCUCACACCGGUCCUCUGGGAAGUCUGGGGAGAAACAACCACCAGAGCCCAGUCUAAGGAGCAGGGACUCCUCUGCAUUCCCAACACACCAUCAGAGAACAAACCCCAUGGCUGGACCAGCUGAGACCUCCUGGCUCAUCCUCCCCUGAGGCUCUUCUCACACGAUCCUUCUGACCCAGCCACAGAAAACGAAUCUACCCAGAUCCCCUAUAUCACAGCAGAGGUGUGCCUGCCUCUUGGAUGGAGCUCCCAUCGACAAGCCGGCCUCUCCACGCUGUGCCCUCGUAUACAGGAACACAGAUUCUCCCACACAUCUGCAGCCG